rnacentral:lncRNA from 1 species
UGGGCCAUUCUUGCUAGGGCGAUGAUGAUUGACCAUGGCUGAAAUAGUGUGUCUUUGAGCAAUCGAGGCACCUGUGGGUAUCAACUUGGAUCCUCCCUCUUGUCUCUAGAAUCCUUUUUGAUCAUGUGAUACUGAUGGCUCUGUCCUUGGACGGUCAUUCUUCUUGAGUGACAACCAGGGCAGCUCCACAGUAUAAACUGGUUGAUCUGGUUAUAGCAGAUGAUGUGGGUAGGUUAUAUGAUUGAGCAAAGGCGAAUCUGAGCCCACUAUGCAAUAAGCUCCAUUGUUUAUAUCUGUCUUGUGUAAAGAUUUCUUCUCUAUACCUUCAUUGCAUAAGUUUUGCUUGACCUUUUUUUGUUCGCCGUUGCUCCUUAAUUUAAUCGGGUUAAGAGUAAGUUGCACUUUGUUAUGUUAAGAAGACUUGCUCCCAACAAAUUAUCGGUUGAAUGGCUUGUUUUAAUCAGUUGUCAUACUAUCACUUCUAUUUUUCUGCAAGUUACCAGUUGCAGCUAUUUGUUCUUACAUGCUACAAAUAAUAAUGCAACUGGAUUGUUUUGGAGAGAAUGCUGGACUUUUCAUGUAAAGAGUGACCGAGGCAGAAUGUCACAUGUUACUGUUUGUAGCCAUAAGCAAUUUUUCAACUGCUUUGAUUAAGUUGCUAGGUUAAUCUGAGCCAUUGAGCGGUCAUUUUCUUUUGUUUUCUUUAGUUUGUUCUGAAGCUUUCCCCAAUUCUGUCUGUGGCCACUACAUUUUUUUGGAUCAUCCACCAGACUAAAUGUAGCUGAACUUCAAAGGAUGUGUGUUUUGUUAGUGUCUUAACUUGUUUCCUUGCUAAGUCUUCUAGGUUAUGUUGUUCUGGUGCUGCCUUCUUUAUACAUAUAUUUUUUGCAUCGCUUUGUCUUGCACUCUUCUUGGCAAGCUUAUAACAAUGAUGACCUUUGUCCAUUUAGACAUAGCAACGCGCGCUCUGCACUUGACAUGUGGAGAAGGCACGCUGUCUCAAAAAAAAGUGGAGAAGGCACGCAUGGUACCGCUCGACAAAACCCUCGCCGUCGCACUCUCUCACAUGCUCACUAAUCAUUAGUUUUAAGUGUGAGACCACUGUGGCCACUUGGAAAAUGGUGGCGAUGAGGAGGCGCGACCACUCAAAAAACAGUGGCGAUGAGGAGGCCCGGCCCUUGUCGGCGACCUGUCCCUCUGAACGGCGGCAACGUUGGAUCUUUGCCUCGCGGGGCCAGCUCACCCUUCUGCUCCGUGCCACGAAGCCGCCGGCACGGCGGCCCUUGCGCUGGGCAGCUGCUGCGGCAUCGUCGGUGUCAAGUGCGACGGUGGGGGUUGUGGGGACCGCGGGGCGGGGGACUGGCAUAAUUUCCUAUUGUGGGUUCUGACGACAUCAAGCUGUAGAUCUGAGCCGCCGCCAUGUCCACUUCAUUUCUUCCAUGUUUCGAUUUGGUAACCCACCCCACUUCCUCCCCCUCGCUCGCUGUGCAAUGUGAGCGCGUCCAUUUAUAAGGAGGUGCUUAUGUGUUCUACAUGUGCGAGUCUCGGCGUUUUGGUGAAGGUGGAGCUGUGCAAGUGUUUGGUUGGUCGCUGGUUCCAGAUCCCACCUCUAUGGGGGCUGCCUCUGUUGGAUGCUGGGAAAUCUUAGGGGGUAGGGACGGACCCAGCCAGUGAUGGCACUGCCACAACCUUUGCAAGUAAUUUGGCGACCACCACUGUCAGUGGCUUAGCUUUGCCAAUAAAUAUUGGAACCUCGUCAGCAUCAUUAUCUUGGUCGCUGUCUCAAUCACCUUGGUACUCUUUGGUUCACAGGAUUCUAGAAAUGUGGGAAUAUGAAGGAAUAUGUGAUAGAAUCAUCCAAAAUUCCUUUGAAUCAAAGAGGCCUCAAACUUGCUGGUGGUGGUGGUGGUGAUGCUGGUGCUGGUGCAAGCUCCUCUCUCUCUACUGCAAAGUUCCUAUGAGCUUCCUUUGAUCAAAGAGGCCCUAAGCUGUCACACUUCUUGUUUGUGUAUGGUGCAUGGCUUUAUGAUUAACCUCAGUGUCUGGUUGCUGAACUGUGCCGUGCUGAAUGGACUUUCCAUUUUGACAAGUCUGCUAGAGUUGCUCUUAGCUGGCGUGGGGCUAUGAUGAUUAAUUAUGGCUGAUAUAAGCAUGCUCUCGAGCAAUCGAGGCACUUGCGGGUAUUAAGUUGGAUCCCCCCUCGUUUCUUUGAGCCAUUUUGAUCAUGUGCUUAUUUUAGUGGCUCUGUCCUUGGAUGGUCAUUUCUGAUGGGUGAUAACCAGGACAGUCUCACCAUUGUAAGAACAGAUUGAUCUGGUGAUGGAGACACUAGUGGAAGGGUCAUAUGAUCGAGCAAAGGUGAACCUGAGCCCAUUCAAUUGCAGUUCUGGUCUCAAGAACAAUGUGCUAUGUUGUUGCCGUUCUGUAUUUAUAUUUAGCUCCUAUUUGGUUGGCAGGAUUUUAAGAACACAUUAAAGGGCAGCCUGGUGCAUGUAGCUCCUGCUUGCGCAGGGUCUGGGGAAGGGUCGCAUCGCUUUGGGUCUAUUGUACGCAGCCUUUCACUACAUUUCUCUAAAAGGCUGUUUCCAGGACUUGAACCCGUGAUCUCAUGGUCACAAGGCAGCAGCUUUAGCACUGCACCAAGUCUCCCCUUCAUUUUAAGAACACAUUGAAGGAAAAAAAAAUGAAGGAUUCCAUUGUUAGGGCAACUCCAACACUUACCCUGAACAGCCGGCUGGGUGGAGGCCAUUCUUGCUAUGGCGAUGAUGAUUGACCGUGCCUGGAAUAAGUGUGCCUUUGAGCAAUCGAGGCACCUAGGUAUGAAGUUGGAUCCCCCCUCUUGUCUCUAGGAUCCAUUUUGAUCUGUGAUAGUGAUGGCUCUGUCCUUGGAUGGUCAUUCUUGGUGAGUGAUAACCAGGGCAGCUCCACAGUAUAAAUGGUUGAUCUGGUGAUAAGAGAUGAUGGGGGUAGGUUAUAUGAUGGAGCAAAGGCGAAUCUGAGCCCACUAUGCAAUAAGCCCGAACCCCUUUUUAUUUGUAUUUAAAGGUGUUGCUUAUUUAUGCUCUAGUGUUUAUAUCUGUCCUGUGUAUAGAUUUCUUCUCUUAUACCUUUAUUGCAUAAGUUGUGCUUAAUCUAGUCUGGUUAAGAGUAAGUUGCACUUUUUUAUAUUAAGAUGACUUGCUCCCAGCAAAUUACCGGUUGAAUGGCUUCUUUUAAUUAGUUACUCCCUCUGUUCAUCAGUACAAGACCUUUUGAUAGUUUAAUUCGAACUGCCAAAACGUCUUAUAUUGAUGAAUAGAGGUAGUAUCAUACUGUUACUUCUGUUUUCCCGCAAGUUACCAGUUGCAGCUAUUUGUUCUCACAUGCUACAAAUAAUAAUGCUACUGGAUUUUUUAGAUUUUUUUUGGAGAGAAUGCUGGACUGUUCAUGUCAAGAGUGACCGAGGUAGCAUGUCAAAUGUUCUGUCUGUAUCCAUAAGCAAUUUUUUGACCGCUGUGAUUAAGUUGCUGGGUUAAUCUGAGCCAUUGAGCGGACAUUCCCUUUUGUUUCUUUAGUUUGUUCAGAAGCUUUCCCCAAUUCUGUCUGUCACCACUGCAUUAUUUGGGUCAUGCACCAGACUAAAUGUUGGUGAACUUCGAAGGAUGUGUUGUUUUUGUUAGCUUCUUAACUUAUUUCCUUGUCAAGUAAGCCUUUGGGGUUAUUCUGUUUUGUUGCUGCCUUCCUUGUACAUAUAGUUUUGGUCUUUUGCAUCGCUUUAUCUUGCACUCUUCCUGGCAAGCUUAUAUCAGUGAUGACCUUCGUCCAUUUAGUCGUAGUAUCUAUUUGAAUAAUGAAAAUUUGCUACCAUUUGGUUAUCACCAGAUGUUUGUCUGUUGACAAAACAUGUUCCAGGAAGGCAUUUUGUCUGCUAUGUUUUUUUUGAAAUAGAAUUCUGAUUCGGGGCAACGAUGAUUGACCAUUGCUGAUAUAAGCAUGCUCUCGAGCAAUCGAGUAAGCUGUGGGUAUUAAGUUCGAUACUUCCUCGUCACUUGGAGCCAUUUCAACCACGACAAGAAUUAUGGAACGGAGGGAGUAUAUUUUUUUUGUGGCUGUCCUUGGAAGGUCAUCUUGAUGAGUGAUAACCAGGGCAGCCCCACACUAUAGUAUAUAUUUUCCUGGCAAGCUUAUAUCAGUGAUGACCUUCGUCCAUUUAGUCAUAGUAUCUAUUUGAAUAAUGAAAAUUUGCUACCAUUUGGUUAUCACCAGAUGUUUGUCUGUUGACAAAACAUGGUCCAGGAAGGCAUUUUGUCUGCUAUGUUUUUUUGAAAUAGAAUUCUGAUUCGGGGCAACGAUGAUUGACCAUUGCUGAUAUAAGCAUGCUCUCGAGCAAUCGAGUAAGCUGUGGAUAUUAAGUUCGACACUUCCUCGUCUCUUGGAGCCAUUUCAACCACGACAAGAAUUAUGGAUCGGAGGGAGUAUAUAUUUUUUUGUGGCUGUCCUUGGAAGGUCAUCUUGAUGAGUGAUAACCAGGGCAGCCCCACACUAUAAACGGGUUGAUCUGGUGAUAAGAGAUGAUGGGGGUAGGUUAUAUGAUCGAGCAAAGGCAAAUCUGAGCCCCCUCAAAUGCAAUUCUAGUGCUCUUUCAGCAUAAUGUGCUACACUGUUUCUCUUUUUUUAUCUGUAUUUGAAGGUGUCGCUUAUUUAUGCAACUGUGUUUAUAGCUGUCCUGUGUACAUAUUUCUUCCCUUAUACCUUUAUUGCGUAAGUUGUUCUUGCCCUUUUUUCCGUUCUUGCAUCUGUCUGCACUAUAGUACAUCAAGUAUCAACAACAACAACAACACACGGAGCCUUUGUUCCCAAACAAGUUGGGGUAGGCUAGAGGUGAAACCCAUAAGAUCUCGCAACCAACUCAUGGCUCUGGCACAUGGAUAGCAAGCUUCCACGCACCCCUGUCCAUAGCUAGCUCUUUGGUGAUACUCCAAUCCUUCAGGUCUCUCUUAACGGACUCCUUCCAUGUCAAGUAUCAGCCAAGAAAAAUUUGUACUUUGAUGCUACAUAUUCAGUUUUCAACUUAAAUGGAUUGCUGUGGCCCCCAGCAUACUAUAUUUUGUGGUUGCACACAUGCACAGCAAAAUACUCCAAAUCUGCUGUGGUCUAAUGAUGCUCUCAGUAGAUAGCAUAUUCUUGGUUGGUUCACCAGUCAUCAGAUAAUUUUGCAUGUAGGCAUUGCUAUUGAUGAUGUUCCACAAGAUUCUGGAUCCUCCUAACUGCGAAGGAUGUUUGUUUUGUUAGCUUCUUAACUUUCUUUUCCUUGCUAAGCAAGCCUUUGGGGUAAUUCUAUUUUGUUGCUGCCUUCUUUUUACAUAUAGUUUUGCAUCGCUUUGCUCUGCACUCUUCCUGGCAUGCUUAUAACAGAGACCUUUGUCCAUUAGACAUAGUAACUAUUUGAAUAAUCAAAAUUCGCUACCAUUUGGUCACCACCAGAAGUUUUUUAGUUGACAAAACAUGGUCCAGGAAGGUAUUUUGUCUGCUAUAUGUUUUUUGAAAUAGAAUUCUGAUUUGGGGCAAUGAUGAUUGACCAAUGCUGAUAUAAGCAUGCUCUUGAGCAAUCGAGUAAGCUGUGCGUAUUCAGCUGGAUCCUCCCUCGUCUCUUGGAGCCGUUUCAACCAUGACAAGAAUUAUGGAACGGAGGGAGUACUAAGAGCAACUGUUAACAGAUUUGCUAUAUUUUUGGUGGCUGUCCUUGGAAGGUCAUCUUGAUGAGUGAUAACCAGGGCAGCUCCACACUAUAAACGGGUUGAUCUGGUGACAAGAAUGAGGUAGGUUAUAUGAUUGAGCAAAGGCAAAUCUGAGCCCCCUCAAAUGCAAUUCUAGUGCUCUUUCAACAUAAUGUGCUACACUGUUUCUCUUUUUUUAUCUGUAUUUGAAGGUGUUGCUUAUUUAUGCAACUGUGUUUAUAGCUGUCCUGUGUACAUAUUUCUUCCCUCGUACCUUUAUUGCGUAAGUUGUUCUUGCCCUUUUUUUCGUUCUUACAUCUCUCUGCACUAUAGUACAUCAAGUAUCAGCCAAGAAAAAUUUGUACUUUGAUGCUACAUAUUCAGUUUUCAACUUAAAUGGAUUGCUGUGGCCCCCAGCAUACUAUAUUUUGUGGUCGCACACAUGCACAGCAAAAUACUCCAAAUCUGAUGUGGUCUAAUGAUGCUCUAUCAUGUAUUUUAAUAAGCAUGCCUUAGAGCAAGCUUCUAUAUCGCCGCCCUUCUCCACGGAAGCAUAUGUUCAAGUCACAAGCGAGUGUUGGUGGUGCUGUAAUUCGUAUGGUCAAUCAGUGCAACAUGCUCCUCAUAUACUUUUUGGAUGCAACUGAGAGUGCAUGUGCACAUUAAAUGCUGUGAAUCAAAGCUUGUGUGCCUGGUCAGUAAUUUUGAUAUGUGAGCCCUCGAUUGGCUAUGUAUAAUGUGUUGUUCUCUCGCCAUGUAUGUGUUGAGUGUUGGUUAACAAAAUGAUAAUGUUCAGUGAAAUUUUUCAAUAUCAAACAAAUUUGUUUUACAGAGUUUUUUUAGUUCUAUUGAAUUUCCCAUGAGAGUUUUGUAUACCGGUACCAUUGUGUCUCUUCAUGAAUGCGGUCCUGCUGGGCAAGCCUGAGAAGCCCUUGUACUAAUAGUUUGUGUAUCUGAGCAGUUUCUUCCUUUCAACUGCGAUGAUGUGUGCAAUUUCAUCUUGAUUGUAAAGUAGAGUUUCCUUUCUACUUGAGGUUAGAUCGAGGUCAGUAGGCAUCAGGAGGAUUACAUAGCCCAGUAUCCUCCCUUGCCACAUAAUUUUGCAAGCUAUUGGUGACCAUGAAUUUUUACGGGUUCUGUAUGCUAAACAAUGCUCUCUGUUUAAUGCAAGAUAUUUUGUUUGUAUUGUAUUGCUAUUGCACAAGAUUUCUGGUCCUAAUUUUGAGGCACUAUUUGGUUUUGCUUGACAGUAAUUUUGGCGCUUUACAUUUCAACUAAAAUGCAGGCAGGGCAUGUUGUUUGGUCAUCUGAUCUUUUUCUUCUCUCCUACGGCUACUUGUUCUUUGUUUGUUUCUGAUCAUUUUGGCUGCUCUCAAGAGAUGCUUACCAUAUUCUCGCUUGGUUCAUCAGUGACCUCAUCCAUUUGGUUUGGUGCCAAAAGAGAAAGGGUCUUCCAACCAAGUUUCAUGUUGAUCUCAUUGGCUCUAGCUUGUAGAUAUCGCUGCCUGUGGAACAUAUUUUAGCGUCUCCUAAGUUGGGUUCUAGAGUGGUUGCACUCUGUUAUACCAAGGUAGACUUGCUGGCUUGUUUUUAAAUGGUUGUCAUACCAGCAUUGUUUUCUCCUCGCAAAUUACCAUUUUGUUCUUUCAUGCGACAUUUUGUUCUUACAGCAAGUAUGUUGCAUGUUGCUGUCUGUAACCAUAAGCAAAUUUUUGACUGCUGUGACUGUGAUUGGGUUGCUGGGUUUAGCUGAGCCACUGAGGUGAUAUUUCUUGGAGAUGCUCUGCUCCUUCACUUGAUGGUCCCAAACAUAUCGUUGCCGUAAGAGCAUCUUUCUUGAAGUCUCGAGUGCCAGUUUGGGUGUUCGACGCCUAUGGUCUGUUCUAAGUGCUGCGGUUUGUCGUGUUUCCCGUGACAGGUUUCUUCAAUGUUAAGCAUCAUUUAGCAUGUUAUUGUUUUCUCAAACCGUCUGUCUUCAUCUCUUGGACUUGGUUUGAAUAAUUAUGCACUUUUGGAUGUACGUGUGCAGGGCUGCAUGCAGGCUGGCUGGCUGGCUGGGAGUGUAGGUUCUCGCACACCAGCGCCUUCUUAAAUCCAACACCACAUGCCACAUGGGCAGGGACGCCGGCGAGCUGCAGAAAUGGGGGCCUCCUCCCAGCUCGCCGCCAUCCCGGCGCUGCUGUUGCUGCUCCUCAUGGCAUCCGCGCCCGCACCGGCAGCAGCAGUGAGCCCCUCCAAGCGCCCCACCCAUCAGCCUCCCUCUUUCCCCGCAGGAAUCUCUACCCUGCGGCAGCGGGCUGCAAGCUCGAGCGGCGGGUACGCCACUGCGGCGAAUCCGUACACGGCGCACUACUUCCCGCAGGAGCUGGACCACUUCACCUUCACGCCCAACUCCUCCCGCGUCUUCUCCCAGAAGUACCUCCUCAACGACACCUUCUGGCGGCGGAAGCCCACCGUCGAGCCGCUGUUCGUGUACAUGGGUGGCGAGGCCGACAUCGAGUGGUUGGCCACCACCACCGGCUUCAUGUUCGACAUCGCGCCAGAGUUCGGGGCUCUCAUCGUCUUCAUCGAGGUACCCUUCUUUGCCACAUCCUCCGCCAUGGCUGAUACUUUCAGGUUUCAGCUAAUCAUCAUAUCAUCGGUGGCCACGCCUUGGUCCAAAUUUUGGUUGUCGUGUUGCACACCAUUUUGUUUCUAAUUAAGCAUAUUAAUAAUAAUACUAUUAAGAGGUAAAGGGCCAACAAAUGCAUCUAUAUAGACUAGAUCGGUUGAGACACAUACGAUUAUUUUCUGUUAGUUGGAUCAAGAACAAAAUUCCCGCAAAAAAAUCAGAGCAAAUUUAUCAACUAAAUAUUUUCCAUCCGUACUCCACAUUGUUUAUAGAUGUAAAUAAUUCUAUAUAAAGAGUAGAAUUCUGAAAUAUAUAUAAAAACACAUUUCAAAAUGUUAAAAAAUUCUGAACAAUAAUUUCGUGUGUACAUCCGGACAUUCUAUCUAUCUUCGCACACAAAAAUUCGCAAAUAUAUAUAAAAAAUUUGUGGCAUGUAUAAAAAGGAAAAAAAAAUGUCUCAUGAAUAGUUGUAAUCAAGCACCGAAAAUUGUAUUUUUUACACAAGCCACAAAAAUUGUCCCUUUUCAUCGAAACUUUGUGCGUGAACAUAUAAUGUCCGGAUGUUCACAUGGGGUUUUUUCUCGAAUUUUUUGAACUUCUUAAAAAUAUGUAUUUAGACAAUGGGUGCAAUACACCUAUGAACCAAAGUGAAUUUCCGCUACAUACGGAUGUAUAUAGACAUAUUUAGAGUGUAGAUUCGCUCAUUUUACUUCGUAUGUUGUUCAUAUUGAAAUCUUUGAAAGGACUUAUAUUUAGGAAUGAAGGGAGUAGGACAUUAACUAGCCCAAUUCAGGCUUUGAUAAGAUAUAAGAUAAUAACAUGCGGAUUAUGUUACAGAAAUCAAACUAAUAUAAUUGGAUUUGUAAUAUAAAUCUCUUUUCUUCACUUAUCAUUUGAUUAUUUUUAUCUUAACUGCAAAUGAAAUAUUGAUUAUAUAGUUUAAAAUUGAAAAAAUGUGUGCCUUGCAUUUGUUACGGAGGGACCAUGCAAUAAGUUAUUUUAGUCACGCUAAAAACAUGGCAUACUUACAUGACAUGGUCGAUGAGAGAGAGAGUGAGAGAAGUCUGAAAUAACAAUUGACGGAGCGAUACAAAGAAAAGUUCAUGUCUACAAGGUAUGCAAGAGUUGGUGGUAGCUAGGAAGAUAAUACAGAUAAUGUUUUCACAAUUAUCGUUAAAUAUGAACACAUUACAUUAGUAGACAUGGAACAAAGGAAAUUAGAGUAAGGCAGCAUGUGUGGAAGCAUGUCGAUGCAUGUCAUAUCCCUAAUUGAACCUAACUGCAAUACCACUAACGACGAGAAAGGGAAGAAAAAAGGCCCAAUGAUAUUAUGUUUCGAUUAUUUCUUAUUUAAAGCUCCUCUUCAAGAUAAAUGUGAGAUGCUAAACACCAGCAAUUGUCCGAUCUACGCGAAUUUCAUUAGCACAAGAUAGUUGGUGGGUACAAUUGGUAGAUCGGGAUGUACGAUACCCUGCCUUAGAGGAUGAACUAGGGUUCCUAGCUACUAUGAAUUUGGGGAAUUUUCGGGUCUCCCGUGCCCUGCCUUGCUACAUAUAGCUGGCCAGCUCAUACAGUAAUUAAACGGUUACAACACAGUGAAGUUUAAAGUGAGAAGUAACUGGCGAGGAUCCAUCCGAGCCGUUGGAUCUCCCUGAACUCCCUCGAGUCAUCUUGACCGUUGCUUGACUGAACUUGUGCGCUGUUGGUGGUCUUCAGAACUGUCUUGGUUUCGGUCCUGACAAUGCCGCCGCCAUAACAACCGCCUUGUCCUCAAGGUGGAAUAACUUGUGGCCUGGGAAUGUCUUGUUUAAAAAUGCCGCAUCUUCCCACGUCGCAUCGUUUGGCGCCAAACUUUCCCAUUGUACCAAGCACUGACCCACAGGUGUUUUGUUCCUUUGUAUGACCCUACGAUCCAACACCGCCACCGGAAUUGUUUUGACAUAUCCUUCUGCUGUUACUAGUGGAACAUGAGGCAGAGGAACCGCUCGAUGACCCACAUGCUUCUUGAGUUGACUGAUGUGGAAAACAGGGUGAAUGUGAGUGCUCUCUGGUAGUUGUAAUUUGUAUGAAACUUCUCCAAUUCUCUCCAGAAUUUUAUACGGUCCAUAGAAUUUUGACCUCAACUUCAGUGAGCCUCUCAGCCCAAAAGCAUUUUGCCUGUAAGGUUGUAUCUUAAGAUACACCAUUUCUCCCACCUCAAAUGUUCUUUCAGUCCCGUUCCUAUCUGCAAAAUACUUAAUCCUGCUUUGUGCCUGUUCCAAGUUGGCUUUCAGCUUGUUCAUCAUGUUUUCCCUUCCCUUUCUGAAACUGUCAAUCUUGCUUCUGGAGAUAAUGUGGUGUCCAUAGCAAAUUCUCCCACUUGAGGUGGCUUGUAGCCAUAGAGAGCUUGAAAUGGAGUACACUUGAGAGAAGAAUGGUAACUGGUGUUAUACCAUAGUUCAGCUAAUGGCAACCACUUUAACCAUUUCUUUGGUUCUUGGAACACUAUCCCUCGCAAAUAAGCCUCUAGACAUUGAUUUACUCGUUCUGUCUGGCCAUCUGUUUGAGGAUGUGAAGCUGUACUGAAUCUGAUCUGCACCCCAAAUGCUGUGAACAAUUCCUGGUAUAAGUUACUGGUGAAGAUAGUGUCUCUGUCCGACACUAUGCAGAUCGGGAGCCCAUGUAACUUGAUAACAUUAUCCAUUAAGGCUUCAAAUACAGUUAUCACUGAGAAAGGAUGUGCCAAGGGAAUGAAAUGGGAGUAUUUGGUUAGCCUGUCCACUACUACCAGAAUGACUUCUUUGCCUUGAGAAUUUGGCAGUGCAGUGAUAAAAUCCAUGGUAAUAUGUGACCAAGCCAUAUCAGGAACAGGAAGUGGUUGCAGCAACCCAGGAGGAUGGAUGUGUUCUACUUUGUUCAAUUGGCACACAGGACACUGGCUAAUGAAUUCUUCUAUGUUCUUCAUGUUGGGCCAGUAAAAUACCUUUUUCAUCCUGUAAUAAGUUGCUUUACUCCCAGAAUGGCCUCCUAAUGCGGAGGAAUGGAAGGUUUGCAGUAACUGUUGCCUGAAUCCUGUGCUGGCUCCUACAUAGAUUCUGUUUUUGUAUUUUAACAGCCCUUUUGUCAAGGAGAACUUGGGAUCUGGACCAAUAUCGGCAGCUACUUUCUGCAGUAAUUUAUUGCUGUCCUGAUCCCCUUGAUAGCUUUGUAUCACAUCCUCCGUCCACUUUGGAACUACAACAGUAACACUGUUGCACUGCAUUGCUUGUAUUGUCUCUUUCCUAGAAAGUGCAUCAGCCACUACAUUUUCUUUUCCCUUUUUAUACUCAAUAGUAUAGUCAUACUCCAACAAUUUCAGCAGCAACUUGUGUUGUACCCCUUCUGUCAACCUCUGAGUUGUCAUAUAUUUCAGUGACUGUUGAUCUGUUUUAAUGACCAAUUUGUUUCCCCACACAUAAUGUCUCCACUUCUUGAUUGCUUCUAGGAUGGCCAUUGCUUCCUUCUCAUAAAUGGACUGAGCUGCAGACUUUGGUCCUAAACUUUUACCGAGAUAAGCCAGUGGCUUCCCUUUUUGCAUAAGAACUGCUCCAAUACCUGUGGCACAUGCAUCAGCUUCAAUAGUGAAAGGCACAGUAAAAUCUGGCAGUGCUAACACAGGGCAGCUUGUCAUUGCUUCCUUUAAUUUUUGAAAAGCUUGUUUCUGUGCUAUGCCCCACUGAAAUGCAUCUUUUCUCAACAUAUCAUGCAAAGGUCUACAGAUUUUCCCAUAAUCUUUAACAAAUCUUCUGUAAUACCCUGUUAGACCCAGGAAUCCUCUUAACUUGGUGGCAUUUUCUGGUUCUGGCCAAUCCAACACAUCUCUGAUUUUCCCUGGAUCCGUGGACACUCCUUGUUCAGAAAUCACAUGACCCAGAUAAUUCACUUGAUUUGUUGCAAAUGUACACUUAGACCUUUUUACAUACAACUUAUGUUUUUGCAGUGUGGCAAAAGUUCUUUCCAAAUGUUCCACAUGUUUUUCUAAGGAUUUACUGAAAACCAGCAUGUCAUCAAAGAAUACCAAUAUACAUUUCUCCUCCUCUGGUUCAUUGAUUUCUUCACAAACAUUGUUCAUCAGCCCUUGGAAAGUACCAGGGCCACUAGACAGACCAAACGGUACCACUGUAUAUUCAUAAUGCCCCAUAUGAGUCUUGAAGGCAGUUUUUGGAAUAUCUUCAGUGGCCAUUCUGAUUUGGUGGUAACCUGACCUCAGAUCUAACUUAGUGAACACCUUAGCCCCAUAGAGCUCAUCCAACAAGUCCUCAAUUAUGGGCAUGGGAAAUUUAUUCUUUAUUGUGAGUGCAUUUAGCUCUCUGUAGUCCACACACAAUCUCCAUCCUCCAUCUUUCUUUCUGAUCAUAAUUGCAGGAGAAGAGAAGGGACUGAAACUCUCUUGUAUUUCUCCCUUUUUAAUUAAUUGCUUGAUAAUUUCUUUCAUGGCCUGCUUUUGGUAAUGAGGCACUCUGUAAGGUCUCAGAUUAGGUGGUUUUGCCCCUUCCUGUAACACAAUUCUGUGAUCACACUCUCUUUUGGGAGGAAGUUCUUGAGACUCUUCAAAAAUCUCAGCAAAUUUAUGGAGGAGUGGUUGUAGAGCUACAGGAGGAGUUUGUUCUGUGUUGUUAUCUGAUUCCAACUCAUGUACUUGGAGGAUGUAUCCCAUAACACCUUUCUUCAGUAACUUUUCCAUUCUGGCUGCUGAAAUUACACACUUUUUCAUUGGUAUUGUAUAAUCAAACAAGGUGACUGGUUGUCCUUGCUUGGUCAGAACCAACAGCCUUUCCACCAGAUCUAAGCAAAUGGGACUGUACUGAUAAAUCCAAUCAGCUCCCAAUAUAAUGUCAUAGGAGACUAGAUCUAACACUUUAAAACUGCUGUGGAAAGUAUGACCUUGCACUUUGAAAUUUCUGUCUGGAAUCUUAGCUACAGAAACUAAUUUUCCACCACCUGCCACUGUUACCUUUCUGGGAGACAUAGGUUGUUGGAAACAAUUACUUUUAAUUGCAAAUUCUGUGCUCAUGAAUGUGUCCGAUGAUCCACUGUCAAACAGAGCUGUUGCUUUCUUUCCAUCCACUUCUACUAUCAAGGCAAAUGUGUUUGCCCCUGUUGUUCCUUCUGUGGCAUGUGCAGAAAUGUGCAUGGCCUGUGUUGUUUUUGGAACAGUCCCUUCCGGUCCUUUUUCUUUGUCUGGAGUAUUUGGUGCUGUAUGAUAUAUCUGUUCAGGCAUAGUUAUUUUUUCUGUACUUUCACUAUCCUCAUCUUCAUCCACUUCUUGUAAAAUAUGCAAGGUUUUCCCAAUUUUGCAUUUGUGCUGUCUUGUCCAUGGUUCUCUACAAUACCAACAUGCUCUGGCAUCUUUAGGAAAGGGACUCACUUGCUUCUCUUGAGCAGGUACUUGUACUUGCAAUGGAGGAGGUGUUUGUUUAUAAGCAGGUUGAUAUGAUCUGUUUUUAUAUCCUGUGGAAUAGGGCAACUUCCUUGCUGCUGCUGCUUUUUCAUAAACCUUUGCAUACCAAUAAGCUUCUAUGAUCCCUGUUGGUUUCUGUCCACAUACUUCAUGCUUUAUAUCUGGUUUCAAUCCUCCAAUGAAACAGCUGAGAAGAAAAUUUUCCUGUAGACAGGGAUGGUCUCUCUUAACUAGAGCUACACAAUUUUCAAACUCAUCAAUGUACUGUGCUACUGAUGUGUGCUGUUGAAUAUUUUUCAGUAACUCCACCGCUUCAUGCACACUUGCUUCUGAAAACCUGUCAGCAAUCAUUUGACAGAAUUGUUGCCAAGUGAUCAUUUGCCAUGGAACGCAUAUGUUCUUCAACCAAUUUGAUGCUCUUCCUUGUAGAUGACCAGUAGCUAGAUUGACCCAUUGGUCAUAGGGUGUGCCAGACAUGUCAAAGAACUUCUCACAGGCAAUCAGCCACCCAAUUGGAUCUUCCCCACUGAAUAAUGGUAUUUUCAAUCUUGGUCCUUUCAGAACAGCUUCAGCAAAAUAAGAAGGGCCUCCCAAUUGUGUUGCAUGUUGGUUUCUUUGAGCCUCAUACAAAUUUCCUGCUGCCUGAUAAACUGGUGGGAGAGAAUUUGCUGUUGUUGUCAUGUUGAUAUACUGCCCAGUGAUUGGAUUGUAUGUUGGCCUUGGGUUAUAAAGUGGUGCAUUUAUCGGAGCAAAAUAUCCACUAUUGCCUAAAAACCCCAAUGUAUGAGCCUGUACUGCCACACUGGUACUUGCCGCUGACACCCUGAAUUGCUGUUGUGCUGGAUUUUCUUGCUGUUUGUCAGUGUGGAUCUUGGUGCUUUCAGUAAACAUACUCACUGGAGGUAACCCUGAGGUUAUUCCUGCCCCAACUGUGACUGGCAUAUGUCCUUGAUUCACGAAGUCUUGAUGCAGAUUUCUGGUUACUGGUGGCUGAUCCAUUUUUGUCUAAAGAGGAACUGAUAAACCUUGUGGACUGUUCGCUCCCCUUUCUGAACAUACCGGAGAAACAUCACUUGGUGUUGCUGGCUCCACCUUCUGACUGCUUACUGACAUGUUUUGCAAUAUCAGGUUGAGAGUCUUCUGAAUUUCCGUGUUCAUCUCUGUCAGUUUUGCUUCAACCCGUGGCAUAGUCACCAUUUCAGAGCGUAAUUGCUGUACUUCUGUUUUCAAUCCUUUCAGAUCCGAUAGCUCCUCUCUGAAUUCCGCUACUUCCUUUUCCAAUCUGUCCAUCGUGAUCUGAACUUUUGCCCGUGUGUCUGCCAUCUUCAGAUCGAGUGGAUGACCGACACCUUGAAUUUGUACUCCUCGAUCUGGGCUUCACUCCUGUGUAGCCGUCGGACGAACUGAACCUUCCAGUAGCACAUGGAUCGUCGUCAGGGACAGGAAUUUUACCACGCGGAGAAGAUCCCCACGCAACCUUCCCGAACUCGUCGAUCUGCGCCCAAAUGCUCGCCGCCGCCGCGGUCGCCUCCACAAACUUCCCCACCGCCUCCGCAAACAGGGAGGGACGGGAGGGAUUUUACAGGAGAACCCAACCCCUCGUCCUCCUCUGCCUGAUCCGCCGCCCAGCGUCGCUGUUGCCGAUGAAUCGACUGGCUUCUGAUACCUUUGUGAGAUGCUAAACACCAGCAAUUGUCCGAUCUACGCGAAUUUCAUUAGCACAAGAUAGUUGGUGGGUACAAUUGGUAGAUCGGGAUGUACGAUACCCUGCCCUAGAGGAUGAACUAGGGUUCCUAGCUACUAUGAAUUUGGGGAAUUUUCGAUUUGGGUCUCCCGUGCCCUACCUUGCUACAUAUAGCUGGCCAGCUCAUACAGUAAUUAAAUGGUUACAGCACAGUAAAGUUUAAAGUGAGAAGUAACUGGCGAGGAUCCAUCCGAGCCGUUGGAUCUCCCUGAACUCCCUCGAGUCAUCUAGACCGUUGCUUGACUGAACUUGUGCGCUGUUGGUGGUCUUCAGAACUGUCUUGGUUUUGAUCCUGACAAUAAAGAAGCAUCAUAAUGUGGUGUUAAUUUUUCGUGUCUAAUUUCUCAAGGCCAAUGAACCAGAUUGAGAAGAAAUAAACAAACAUGCUAUUACCAUUUAACAACGGGCGACAAAUCUACCCACGCAAAUGCAUGGGUCAUUCCGCUAGUUGGUACUUAAGCUUCAUUAAUGGUACUAAAUAUCAUCAAUGUUCACUUGUUCAAAUUGCAACUUGUUUGAAAUUUGUGUGUCGGAGUGCAGCAUCGGUUCUACGGGGAGUCAAAGCCGUUUGGCAAUGACUCGUACAAGUCAGUUGACAUGCUGGGCUACCUGACGUCCACACAGGCGCUCGCCGACUUUGCCAUCCUCAUCACGAGCCUUAAGCAGAACAUGUCCAUUGUUGACGCCCCCGUCGUCGUCUUCGGCGGCUCUUACGGUGGCAGUAAGUCUAUCACUAACGUGUUUCCUUAUAUUAUAUCCGUUCAUGCAUUAGUCUGAAUCUCCUUAAGUUUAUUAUUAUUUUUAGGAGGGCUUGCCGCCUCCCGGCUCGUUUUGGGAAUCACCGGGCUUGGGGUGGGGAGGGGNNNNNNNNNNNNNNNNNNNNNNNNNNNNNNNNNNNNNNNNNNNNNNNNNNNNNNNNNNNNNNNNNNNNNNNNNNNNNNNNNNNNNNNNNNNNNNNNNNNNNNNNNNNNNNNNNNNNNNNNNNNNNNNNNNNNNNNNNNNNNNNNNNNNNNNNNNNNNNNNNNNNNNNNNNNNNNNNNNNNNNNNNNNNNNNNNNNNNNNNNNNNNNNNNNNNNNNNNNNNNNNNNNNNNNNNNNNNNNNNNNNNNNNNNNNNNNNNNNNNNNNNNNNNNNNNNNNNNNNNNNNNNNNNNNNNNNNNNNNNNNNNNNNNNNNNNNNNNNNNNNNNNNNNNNNNNNNNNNNNNNNNNNNNNNNNNNNNNNNNNNNNNNNNNNNNNNNGAGAGAGGGGUAGUCUCACCAAGACAAUGCGACAACAUUACCAACCGGCUCCUUAAACCGCCGAGAUCAAAUGUUCGAAGUCCAAAUCCGCAUGAGGUGAUCUCGAGGUGAUGUCGAGGUGACUCCAAAUCAGCAUGGAGCUCAGAGAGUUGAUGAAGAUGUGGUGGGUGUCUUACAAAUGUGCACUAAGCGGGCUUUUCUUUCGAAGCAACAUUGGCAAGACCAUUUCGUAGAUUCGCAUGCAAUCCAUCUUGCAUGGUCUAUAGAGUACGAUGUUGGUUUUUUCCGGUCGACGGUGGCGGCGGCCGCGGGCGUCGUUUCCUCCAUGAAGGCUCCGUUGUGGUGUUCCCUUUCCUUCAUGGUUCUCUGGGUGAAAACUCGAUCUUCGGGGUCGGGCGGUGGCGACAAUCCGAUGUCAUGCCCUUCGUGAAGGCACCACCUUGGAGUCCAUCCUCUGUCAGUGUCCUGCUUCACUUCUUCUCGGUGGCUAGUUCUCGGGAGGUCCUCGUUGGCUACAAGUGGUUCUUUUUGGCUCAUCUGUAGUGCUUGGUGGUUGAUUGGGUAGUGUGGCGGUGCGUCGACACCCUUGUAUCUUGCCUUGGGUGAGUGUGGUGUGUGUGUUGGUGGCUUGUUGUAUCCGGAUGUGUAUCUCUGGUCGUUGCUUUAUAUAUGAAGUGGGGCAAAAGCCUUUUUCAGUAUUAAGUGGGUGUGGAGGCUGGGAAUGUGGUGGCUAGGGGUUGCUGUAAGCCAAACAGAAGUGGUGAAGUUGUUUCUCAAACAAAAGAGAGUUGUUGCAGUUAUGGUAGCUUUAUUUUUUUGCGAAGAAGGGUCCCUAUAUAUUAUAAAUUUCACCAGUAGUACAAAGCACUCCUGACAUAGUAAAAAUAACAUUGAGGUCCUUGGACCACUACCGCCAGCAGAACAAGCCGUCCACGCGCUCCUUUCGCUCUUCCUCUAUCGGUGUCAGCCUGACCUUGUCGAUGACAGUUGGGAAGUCUUCGUGCAUGUGUCCCUAAGUACCAGCAUCCUGGACAAGGUCGUUGCUGUUGAACCCAUGAAUCGGUCCGAAGUGCUUGACACCAUAUGUGGUUGUAAAGAAUGUGAGGCGAGAAACCUAACCUCGCCACUCCAAGGAGACGGCAAGACAGGAACUCUGUCGAAUCUGCCCUGAUGGCUAGGUUAGAAUGGAAGAAUGGUCAAUAGACGUGACCGAUGGAGCCAGGGUGCUGGGAUUGGUAGUUUUGUGGAGAUCAAGAUGAGCUAAUAUACACUAAUGUUGCCAUGUCGAUAUUACAAAUAAUGAUGUCUUAUGGUCUGUGGCUUUGGCUGUUGGUUCUAGUGUUGGCUUCAUGGUUCAGGUUAAAGUAUCCCCAUGUUGCCAUCGGAGCCCUGGCGUCUUCUGCACCCAUCCUGCACUUCGACGACAUCACCCCGUGGUCAAGCUUCCAUGAUACCGUCUCACGGGACUUCAAGGUAAUUUUCUAUAUCUAAAUAACUAGCUGUCACUAACUAUUUUAGAAAACAUGCAGCUAUGCUAUUGCUACCUCAUUAUCCUAAUAAGUUCUACUUCCUCCGUUCCUAAAUAUAAGUCUUUGUAGAGAUUUCACUAUGGACCACAUACGGAGCAAAAUGAGUGAAUCUAUACUCUAAAAUACAUCUAGAUACAUCCGUAUGUGGUCCAUAGUGAAAUCUCUUCAAAGACUUAUAUUUAGGAACGGGGAGAGUAGAAAUUAAUUGCAUGCAUGUGUCCUUCGCACCAAGUUUUCUUCUCCACAUUUAUGCGGGGUUUUUCUUCUUCUGAAUUCCCUACUUGUAAGUGAGCGCACAUAUGAUGCGAUCAAGAUAUACAAUAUUAUAAUUAAAAUACUCAUAUUGAUACAAUAAAAUCACAUGGAAAUAUAUUGCAACCAAUUCGUGCGGCAAUGCGUGGGGUGUCAUCUAGUAUAAUUAAUUAGCACUCCAUAGUAACAAGAAAAAGAAAUAAGUUGGCCUAAUUAUUGGUCUCGAGAAAGCACGGCAGGUCGACAUGAACGUCUUCUGCAAACUGAUUGAUGGUGUCGGCUCUGGAAAUUAUUAGUACUGCUACUGAUUGCACUUGUCACUUGUUGUCCGGUAGCAUGUCUCUCUUCCUCUCAUCCUCUGGUGUUAUCAAUACUAUCAUAUUGGUUUUCAGUUCUGGAUUAUGAAUUAGUGAAUGGUGAUGGCGGCUAGCCCUUGCACUUUCCAUGGGCAUUCAGCUUAAAUUUAUUUGAUUGAAUGUUACCUUCCAGCCAAUGAUGUAGAUGUCUAGGUGAGGUCUUGAUUAUGAGUUCAUCAUGGCUAUUCAGUUGUUGAUUAGCUUGGUGGCGAUGCUCAACCGCAUCAAGAGACUAUUUUUUUGAACCAUGACUGCACGUGAACUAAAUAAAUAGCACUGAAGGACUAUCAAUAGGCGGUUGGGAGUAAGGUCCUCAUUUGGCCAAAGAUAUGCAGAUUGAUGCAUUUUGUUCAUUACUGAUGAUGAUGACGCAUCUGUUGCUAAUAACAUAGGGAUAGGAUAUAACAUGGAAAUGGAAUGAUAAGUAACUAGCUAGUGACAUCUUUGUCUGACUGGUGCUUGAUUAGUCCUUCUCCCCAGAUCAAGUUUCCAUGGAAACCCAGGUGUUUAGUCAGCUGAUUGUAACAUCCAACUAUUUUGCAGUCCGAGAGCCUGAAUUGCUUCAGUGUCAUCAAGGCAGUCUGGGAUGUGCUAGAUAACAGGGGAUCCAACGAUACAGGGCUCUUGGAGCUCAGCAAAACCUUCAGGGCCUGCAAGUAAGCUUUGCUUAACACAAUUACUCAAUCUUUUCAUGAAGAGAGAAAAUGGUUUUUUUUUUCUUUACUCAUAACUGUAUAGGACACCGGCCGCAUGGAAUAAAACUUAUUGAUAUAGAGAGAAAAACAAGAGAUUAAGACUGCAAGUAUUCUUUUCUAUCUGUAAAGUGUAAGUAAAGUAAACAAAUAGUCAAACCUUGUAGCAAGAAAUACAUGAAAAAAAAUGACUUGCAGCCCCAAACAAGGUACAUUAAGUUCAAUGAUAAAUCGAUGGACAAAUCUAAUCUUGCCAUGUUAACUGGAGUGGUGAACUAAUGAAGGAUUUCAUACUUUGAGCAAAUCGACAAGAAAUGACACUGGUUCAUGGCGUUGCUUUACCCUUUGAAUCUUAGGACCGUGCAGUUCAUUUAUUCGCUGAGCAGCUGGCUACAGACAGCGUUCAUCCACACAGCCACGAUGGACUAUCCAACCCCAGCAAAUUUCUUAAUGAAUCUGCCUGCUUACCCAGUCAAGGAGGUUAGCCACUUGUAACCUAAUUUACAACUAUUAUUCUCGCCUGCAUUACAUCAAAUGAAUGAGAGUAACUUGAGUUUCAGAGUUACCAAACCGAGUCAUGCAAAAAGAGGACCUGUUCUUUUUUCUCCUCUGCUAUGCAUGUAAUUCUCCUGACAUUUCUGCAGAUGUGCAAGAUCAUUGAUUCUUUUCCUGCGGGAGCAGACGUCAUCGACAAGGCUUUCGCUGCGGCGAGCUUGUACUACAAUUACACAGGCGACAAGAAAUGCUUCCAGGUGGAGGGUGGCGAUGACCCUCAUGGCUUCAAAGGAUGGGGCUGGCAGGUACAAGCCUGACUCACAUACAUGUGUAUGUGGUGUACUGAACUACUGAUAACACAUGAAGACUGAGAAGAUCAUAUAUGUGUUUUAUGAAACAAACUGUUGUGCAGGCCUGCACAGAGAUGGUCAUGCCAAUGACGGUGUCGAACGAGAGCAUGUUCCGACCAUCCAGCUUCAGUUACGAGAAGAUGUCCGAGAGCUGCCUUGCGGGCUACAGAGUUCGUCCAAGGAUGCACUGGAUCACUUCUGAAUAUGGUGGCCAUGUAAGUUUUUGUUCAGAUUUUCAGUGUUUGUAUACGACCGUCAGUAGCAGCAUUUGUUUGGGUUACAUGUGCUCACCUGGUACUGCAUUGCACAACCCACUACAGAAAAUUGACAAGGUUCUCAAGAGGUUUGGGAGCAACAUCAUCUUCUCCAACGGGAUGCGAGACCCGUGGAGUGGAGGCGGGUAGGAGUAAAAGAUUUCUCACCGUCUGAUCUAUUCAUGUUGAUAGUUUCAACCAUUUAGGUAGCAAUUUUACCAUAGUAAACAAUAGUAAUAGCUUUCCUUCUGAACUGCUACCAGGGUACUCAAGAACAUAUCAUCCAGCAUCAUUGCUCUUGUCACGGAGAAAGGUAAACUUGAAGUUGUAGAAAAUAUGUAAGGUCAAAAGUAUUGUUAACUUACGAGUGGCUACUUCUUGUGGUGAUGUUCAGGGGCCCAUCAUUUGGACUUGAGAUCUGCAACCAAGGAUGAUCCAGACUGGAUUGUAGAACAAAGGAGACAGGAAACUGAGAUCAUACAUGGAUGGAUAGAUCAGUAUAACAAGGACAUUGCACAGACGUAGCAGCAAGAAGGCGCCAUUGAUUUUCAGUCAUGGAAAAUAAAUAUGGCUUGGUGGCUUUGUUAAUCUAUUAAUCUGAAGUCAGGCAAUCGCCUUUUAUCUAAAUAAAUAAAUAAAUAAAUAUGGUUACAUGCAAAAUGUAAGGAUUUUCCUUUCUUCUACAGGGUGAUAAGCAGUAAAAGAAGAAGAUAAUGCAUUAGUGCAACUUCAAAUUCAACAAGACACCAGAAAUUCUUGAACUUAAGCGGUCAUACGUGAAUCAUGAAUGCAGAGGGUCUAUUUUUCUUCGUAACUGUUGGAGUGAACAUUGAAUUUAGGGACAAACAUGUAUUUGUCCCUGCUGAAAAUUUUAAUGCAUGGUUUUGACAUAUGCGAUGUCUAUGACGUGUGGGGUCUGAGUCCACAUGUUAUACACAUUGGCCAUAUUUCACAAAAAUAAAUAAAUUGACAUGGGCCAUGUUAUUAAUUUGCAGGGGCCUCUCAGGAAAGAAGCGACAUUGCAUUAAAAACAAGUGCACCCAAACUGGUUAUAACUGACAUAACAUAGCAUAACACUGUUUGUUCUUGUAUACACAACACUGUUUAUGAUCCCAGAAAAUAAGACCAAUUUAAAAGCUAAAGCUAUGUUGAUGGAAGCCCCCAAGCCUGCUUCUAAUUAACUCGACCGCUGCAAUUUGCACAAUUUCACAGAUACAAUAUGAAAGCAUCAUCUUGAGUGAAAUCCUGCACCACAGAGGUUUGAUUUAGAUACACCUGACCAGCUCAGCAGAUUCAUAUGCAAAGUCUGAAAGGCCUAGAGAUAGUGUCAAAUCAUCAUAAAGAAGGCACAUAGUUUUUUCACCUGAAUAUGGUCUUGUUAAAAAAAAAGGAUUGAUCCAGAGAGAAGGGAAACCAAAUGGAAAUCCUAAACAGGUCGACCCUAUUUAUGAUAAAAACAUACGAAAAACCACACAAGCAAUGAGGCCUUGUCGACCACACGGCACACGACCAUAGUCUUAGCGAAUGCACACUUUCAGAUCUGGAGCCGCCGCUCCGACUUGUCCCGCUCGCAUGCAAGCCGCAACUUCACGUAACUCGGCAGCCACAUAGUCCUUUGUUACUCGCGCCGAUCCAUAAUAAGUGUUAGUAGUUUUGAACUAAGGUUGCACUAACCUUAAUUCAAAAUUGUGACACUAAUUUUGGAUCGGAGGGAGUAAUAGUUAUCUUCCAACCACACAAUUUUAUUUUGAGACGUCUUAUAAUGAUAUUAGCGGAGCAAUUCAUAUUACGACAAUAAGAUUAAUACAAUAACAAUCGGCCCCGCCGCCGUCAUCUUAGGGCCCGGCGCGGAUACGAUGACGCAGGGGCAAGCGGGAGGUGGUGGCCGGGCCGGCGGCGGCUAGGAUUUUCCCCGAGUCGCCCAGCUCGGGCGAUGCGGGGGACAUGCCUCUACCUCUUCAUGGAGGUUCUUAUAUCCCGGGAAUUCCGUGUAAUGUUGUUGAUUGAUUAAUAAAACUGACAUUUCUCUAAGAAAAACUUAGUGUCGUACGACCAUCUUGUCUCGUCUGCGUUCUUAAACCCCACAGAACGCUUUAUGCAAAGAAAAUGAACCCCACACGACACGAGCACUGACACGAGCAAUCUGCAGUGAGAGCUCUAGCGACGGCAAAAAUGGCGGCCUCCUCCUCGCUCCUCGCCGUCGGCCCGGCGCUCCUCGUCCUCUUCUUCACGGCGCUCGCGCCCGCACCACUGGCAGCAGCAGCGACCUCCUCCAAGCUUCCCAGCCAGCCUCCUCCUUUCCCUGCUGGACUCGCUCCUCUGCAGCAGCACCGGGCGGCAAGCUCGAGCGGCAGGUACACCACCGCCGCCACGGCCCCCGCGAAGCCGUACACGGCGCACUACUUCCCGCAGGAGCUGGACCACUUCACCUUCACGCCCAACUCCUCCCGCGUCUUCUCCCAGAAGUACCUCCUUAACGACACCUUCUGGCGGCGGAAACCCACCGCCGGGCCGCUGUUCGUGUACACCGGCAACGAGGGCGACAUCGAAUGGUUCGCCGCCAACACCGGCUUCAUGUUCGACAGCGCGCCCGACUUCGGCGCCCUCCUCGUCUUCAUCGAGGUACCCUUUUGGCCACAUCCUCUGCCAUGGCUGAUAUCGUCGGUGACCGCACGCGCCCUGGUCCAAAAUUUGGUUGUCCUAUUGAUUCUGUCGAGACAAGACACCAUUUUUGCUGUUGUUUAAGCAUCCAUAAUAGUAAUCACUUGUUUAAAUUUUGUUGUUCUCAUGCUAAUUGGCAUCCAUAGUAAUUACACUCUAUUUUCCCUCUCACAAUGAAAAGAGACGCAAGCUUUAUGUAUUCGUGAAAAAAAAAAGAAAUUACUAAUUAGUACUAACUGCAAUCACUUGUUCAACUAGUAUAAUAGUACUAACUUGUUUGAAAUUUGUGUGCAGCAUCGGUACUACGGGGAGUCGAAGCCGUUCGGAAAUGACUCGUACACGUCGGCCGACAUGCUGGGUUACCUGACGUCCACGCAGGCGCUCGCCGACUUCGCCAUCCUCAUCACCAGCCUCAAGCAGAACCUUUCUGCCGUCGAUGCCCCCGUCGUUGUCUUCGGCGGCUCCUACGGUGGCAGUAAGUCCAUCACCGACGCGUAUCCCCAUAUCGCCAAUUAAAUCCAUGUGUGCGACAAUCUUUUUUGAGAGAAAAUUAGGAUGAGCUAAUCUACAAUAAUAAUGUAGUCAGUGUGGAUGCAUCUUCCAAAAAUAAAGUACAGUAAAUGAUUUUAUGCCUGUUGUUUCUAGUGCUGGCUUCAUGGUUCAGGCUCAAGUAUCCCCAUGUCGCCAUAGGAGCACUGGCAUCCUCUGCUCCGAUCCUGCAGUUCGACGACAUCACCCCAUGGUCUAGCUUCAACGACAUUGUCUCGCAGGACUUCAAGGUAAUAAUAGGAAUUAAUCACUACUACUGCAUAACAUCAUCAUGCUUUAACUUCCUCAAAAGUAGGUCAAAUAAUUCCUGGAUGAAUGGCCCAGUGUCACUGGUCAAAUUAUUAGUGAUGAUAAGGCAUGGCAGAUCAACAUGCUCUCCUCUGGAUACUGAAUUUCACUUGUUGUCACCGUGUUGGCUCUGAAUUACUAUUAGUAGUGAAUUUCACUUGUUGUCGUGUUAUCAGUGGGCUCCCUGACGUGCUGCAGGGUGCAGUUGGGUCACUGACAUGUGGGCCAUCCAGCAGACGGGCCCACAUGUCAGUGACCGAACUGCACACUGCAGUACGUCAGACGAUCCCUGUCCGUUAUCAGUACCCUAGCGGCACAUUAGUGGUUUUCAGUUGUGAAUUAUGAAUAGGUGGUGGCCCUUUUCUUCAUGAGGAUGUAGCUUAACAAAUACGUUUGGUUGGAAUCUUCCAAGAAAAGAACAUGGAAUUUAAGUGCGUGAUUGAAAUGGCUAAUGAUGUGGAUGUCUAGGUGAUCAGGUCUUACCUUAAUGAGUUCACCAUGUCUAAUGGUUCAUUUUUGGAUUAGCCUGAUUGCGACGCUCAACCGCACAGAAGGGCUAUCAAUAGGCGGUUGCAAAUAAGGUCCUCACUUGUCCAAAGAUAUGCAAAUUGAUGAUGCCCUGUGACACAACUAUUACGUACUAAUACGGCAGAGACAAGAUAUAACAAGGAAAGGGAAUGAUGAUUCACUUGCUAGUGACAUCUUUGUCUUAUUCAUGCUUGAUUAGUAGCUGUCCCAAGUCAAGUUUCCAAAAAGAUAAAUGUGUUUAAUCAGCUUAUUCUAAGUUUGUAACAUCCAACUAAUUUUGCAGUCUGAGAGCCUGAAUUGCUUCAGUGUCAUCAAGGCAGUUUGGGAUGUGCUAGAUGAGAGGGGAUCAAACGAGACAGGCCUCUUGGAGCUCAGCAAAACCUUCAGGACCUGCAAGUAAGCUUUGUCCAACUGAUAUUGUUUUGGACAUGCAAAUCUCAUCUUGUCAACGGAGGAUAUGGACAUCAUACUUUGGCGAAUCGACAACGAUGACUCGGGUUGGUGACAUUGCUCUAUCUCAUGUAUUUUAGGACAGUGCAUUCCGUUUCUCGUCUGGGAUUGUGGCUAAGGGCAGCAUUCACCACCACUGCCAUGGUGGACUAUCCAACCCCAGCCAAUUUCAUGAUGAAUCUGCCUGCUUAUCCUGUGAAGGAGGUUAGCCACUUGCAACCUAAUUUACAACCCUUACUCUCGACUGCAUUACUACAUCAAAUGAAUCACGAAUGAGGAGAGAAACAUGGGUUUCAGAGCUACCAAACUGAGUCUGAGGACCUGUUUUUAUUCUUUUCUGCUGAGCAUGUAAUUCUCCUGACUUUCUGCAGAUGUGCAAGAUCAUUGAUACUUUUCCCGCCGGAGCAGACGUCAUCGACAAAGCUUUCACUGCGGCAAGCCUAUACUACAAUUACACAGGCGACCAGAAAUGCUUCGAGGUGGAGGGUGGCGAUGACCCUCAUGGCCUCCAUGGCUGGGGCUGGCAGGUACAAGCCUGACUCACAUACAUGUGAAUGCGGUGUACUGAUAACAAAUGAAGCCUGAGAAGAUCAUAUAUGUGUUUUCUGAAACAAACUCUUUUGCAGGCCUGCACAGAGAUGGUCAUGCCGAUGACGGUGUCGAACGAGAGCAUGUUCCCACCAUCCAGCUUCAGUGACGAGAAGAGGUCGGAGGGCUGCCACCUGUUCUACGGAGUUCGUCCGAGGAUGCACUGGAUCACUACUGAAUAUGGUGGCCAUGUAAGUUUUUGUUUCAGAUUUUCAGUGUUUACAUAUCAGUAGCAGCAUCUCUUUAGAUGCAUGUGCUCACCUGGUACUGCAUUGCACAACCCACUGCAGAAAAUUGACAAGGUUUUAAAGAGGUUUGGCAGCAACAUCAUCUUCUCCAAUGGGAUGCGAGACCCAUGGAGUCGAGGCGGGUAGGAGCAAUAGAUUUCACCAUAUGAAUCAUGCAUGACGAUAAUUUCGACCAUUCAGGUAACAAUUUUACCACAGUAAAAAUACUAAUAGUAUUCCUGUCAAACUGCUAUCAGGGUGCUCAAGAACAUAUCAUCCAGCAUCAUUGCUCUUGUCACAGAGAAAGGUAAACAUGAAGUUGCAGCAAAUAUGCAAGGUCAAAAGGAUUCUGAAACUUACUUAAACAUGACUACUUCUUUUGUGGUGGUGAUGUUCAGGGGCCCAUCAUUUGGACCUGAGAUUUGCAACCAAGGAUGAUCCAGACUGGGUUGUAGAACAAAGGAGACAGGAAGUUGUGAUCAUACAUGGAUGGAUAGAUCAGUAUAACAAGGACAUUGCACAGAUGUAGCAGUAAGAAGGCGCCAUUAAUUUUCAGUCAAGGAAAAUAAAUGUGGCUACAUGGAAAAUGCAAGGACUUUCCUUUCUUCUACAGGGCGAUAAGUACAAAAACUUAAGAUAGUGCAUUAGUGCAACUUCAAAUUCAACAAGACACCAGAAAUUUUUGAACUUAAGCAGUCAUAAACGGAUCAUGAAUGCAGAGGUUCUCUUUUUCUACUUAUGGAACUGUUGCGGUGAACAGUGAAUUUAUCAACCAGAAAAUAAUUAAGACCAGCUUAAAAGCUAAAGCUAUGUCGAUGGAAGCCCCUAACCCUGCUUCUAACUUUUUUCUAGAAUAUGCAUAACAUUUGUAUCAUUGCAUUAAGAAGUGGCAAAGACGCCGGGUACAACACCUUUUGGCCAUUACAAUGCCAAUCUCUAGGACUAGCAACCACAUCCACCACGCACACCACCACACCCACUACGAAACAUGCCACACCUAGUCCAGCCUCAUGCUGAUGACAAUGAGACAAGACAUAGAGCAUCAAGCCGUGUCACAACCAACACCGAAGAUCUCUACAACAAAACCAAGACUCGUGGACAACACGGACCAACGUAUCCCCACCCAUUGCGCCAUGAGAAAGUCGGGGCGCGAACGCACCUAGAAGAGGCGUCGUCGAGAGAGCGUCGACAAUGGUGUACAUUGUGCCCUGGAGUCCCACGCCUAGAGCAGUAGCCGACACUUCCUCAAGCCACACCCCCGCGACUCCUCGAGCAACAAGAUGACACCUCCAAGAAGGGAACAACGUCAAGAUGCCGCCGCCGCCCUGCUUCUAACUGAACUACGACAAUUUGCACAAUUUCAUGGAUACAAUAUGCAAGAUCAACAGUCGGUUAACACACAUGCAGAAACAUCUCUCAAAAUACAUGAAAGCAUCAUCUCGAGAGAAAUCCAGCAUCGAUAAGAAGUUUCAUUUAUACACAUGACCAACUCAGCAGAUUCACAUGCCAAGUCUGAAAAGUGUAGAGAUAGUGUUAAAUGACCAUAAAGACCUGCACCCUCGGCCUUCCUUCCCUCCUCCUGCCCCCUGCCGCUGCCGGCGGGUGACCCCGGCUCCGGCCCGGGUGGUGCCGCCGGCGGCGGGAUCUCCUCUUCCCGCGCGCUCGUCCUCCCUUCCCGGGGCGGGGGGCGGCGGCGGUGUCACUCGGCGAGGCGGAGGUCCGGCGACCCGGCGGGGUGGCCGGCGGCGGAUGUGGUGGCGGCGCUGCUCGUUGGCGGCGGGGCGGCGCGGUGGUGCAGGGUGGCCGACGGCGUGUCCCGCUCAGAUCUGGGCCCUGCGGGCCCCAUCUGGGUCUUAGCGGGUCGGUCCCCGGCGUGGCUUCGUUGUCUUUUGCAUGGUGAGGAAGAGGAGCAGCUCGGACCGGGGGCGGCGACGUCGACGGCGUGCCUGCUGCAGCGCGCAGGCGGGAGCUUUCCAGGCCUACGAGGGCCCGGCUGGGUAUAUGUGUUUUGUAAGUUUUAUAUAUUUUGUCCGGCCUGUUGAACUUGCGCAGUUGCAUUGUUGAUUUAUUUUGGUAAAAUGCACAGCCAUAUCUAGCUGCUGAGAAAACCGAUGGAAGCUACGAUUUUGACAGAACCAUUUUUGGUGUCAAAACAUCUCAGCGUCGUCGAGAUUAAAUGUAGGGCAAAAGAUGAGCGAGCUCACAAAAUUUCAAAGGCCCUUUGUUCGUAUGGAGUAUCUGCUGAUAAAAUCAACAUCAAGGAAAGAAUACGGUCCUCCAGUGGUAAGUCAAAAUUUCAAUCUUCCUAGAAUUUUGGUGUUUUUUGCAUUCCCAUUUCAUGUUGUAUGUGUUAAUUCAAAGCCGGGCUUUUGAGCCUUUUCUCUUAAAAAUGUUGUAUGUGUUAAUUAAUUUCGUAACCGAUAUUUUAAUAUAGUUGAAGAACUAAAUGUGUAAAUGAUACGUAUCAAGGGGAAAUUGUUCUUCUGAAGUCAUGUUAUAAUCUUGUGAUUUUAAAAUUGUCGGUCUUCCCACGGCAAGGCAAAGUUUCAGUCUUCCUAGAUUUUGAAGUUUUUCGGAUUCCCAUACCAUGUACUCCAUCGGUUCUAAAAUACUUGACUUUCAUUUGUCCAAAAAUGAAUGUACCUAUAUACUAAAAUAUGUCUAGAUGCAUCUAUAUUUUGACAAAUGAAAGACAUGUAUUGUGGAACGGAGGGAUAUGUGUUAAAUUUGCCAACGGUAUUCUUUAAAUUAAGUUAGUCGGAACAGUGAAUGUGUAAAUGAUGAGCAUCAAAGGGGAACUUGUUCUUCUGAAGUCAAAUUAUUAGUCUCCUGCAAAAUUUUUUUUCAAAUUAUUAGUCUUGGUGAUUUUUAAAUUUUUGGUCUUCCCACACUAAGUUAAACUUUCUAUCAGCUUCAUGCAUGUUGCUAAACUAAAGUACGGUUCUUCUGGCCCCGCAACAUUUAAAUCAAACAAUAUGCCAGUCCAACUAAUUGCACUUUCUUUUUAUACUUGUACAGGAACAUAUUAUGAGUCUGACACGUCGGUCCAUUCGUAUUCAGACCCGGAGAAAUAUCAGUUUGACUAACAUUUGGAACAUUGUUAUGAAUUUACUUGCUUCACCAGGGGACCUUUUGCGUAUGUUUUAGUUGUUGAGUCAAGGCCUUUGUAGUUAAUUUCACAAAAUUGAAGUAUGGAUGCAAUUGGAAUUUGGUUCAGGGGUUGAACAUAAGCUAUCUUAUCUGCUUUGUACUUUUUGUUUGUGUCAUAUUCCCGUUUCAUUUUCUGGAACUUGCUACAUUGUUUUGCAUUACAUAUCAUGUGUUUUCUUAUUCACUUACCAUAGUCACCACACAAAAACAAAGAUUAGUUACCCGUUCACCCUGUGCCGCUCCCGCGAGAGGCCAGGGCCACCACNNNNNNNNNNNNNNNNNNNNNNNNNNNNNNNNNNNNNNNNNNNNNNNNNNNNNNNNNNNNNNNNNNNNNNNNNNNNNNNNNNNNNNNNNNNNNNNNNNNNNNNNNNNNNNNNNNNNNNNNNNNNNNNNNNNNNNNNNNNNNNNNNNNNNNNNNNNNNNNNNNNNNNNNNNNNNNNNNNNNNNNNNNNNNNNNNNNNNNNNNNNNNNNNNNNNNNNNNNNNNNNNNAGUCGUGCUGUGGUGCUAGCGGCCGCAAGGCCUCGCGUGGCUAGGGCCGUCCUCUAGGAUGGCUCGGUGGUGCUCCGGAUCUGACGGCGCGGGUUGCGGGCUGCGGGCGGCAUGGACGAGCGACCGUGGCCUCCUCGGUUGUGGGCGUUGGUGGUGUGCUGGGAUGGUGGGCGGGCGGCGCGUGAUGGCAUCUUCAGUAAGAUCCCUUCGCUGCUGUUGCGGUUCGAUUUGGUACCCCUCAUCUAUGGGCGCGCUAUUGCUGGUUGCCUCACGGGGAUGUGUGUCGGCUGCCAUGGUGAGGCGACACAAGGAUGUGCUCGAUGGGGAGCUCGGUAGGAGGCACGGGUGGCCUCGAUGUGGCUGCGUCACCUGUCGCUGGGACAGGGGUGUGCCGGUCCGGAUGCAUCCGCUCCUCCUUCUCCCCCUUUUCUCAUGUUUGGCGGGGAGGUAGGUAGGAGGGAUGGGUGGAUGCGGUUGUGUCACCUGUCGCGGACACAAUAGUGUGCUGGUCUAGAUGCGUCUGCUACUCCUUCUCCCCCUUUCUUGUCGCGGGCGGGUCACCGCAGGUUUGCCGAUGAACGUCUGCUGAUGGCUCCGUCGGUCGGGGGUUGUCGGUUGGGCCAAAGCUGGGGCCUUUGCGUGGUCUCGGGGUUGUCUGAUUGUGAUACGUCUCUAAUGUAUCUAUAAUUUUUGAUUGUUCCAUGCUAUUAUAUUAUCAAUCUUGGAUGUUUUAUAUGCAUUAUUUGGUUAUUUUAUAUCAUUUUUUGGAACUAACAUAUUAACCUAGUGCCAAGUGCCAGUUGCUGUUUUUUCUUGUUUUUGUCUUUACAGAAAAUCAAUACCAAACGGAGUCCAAAUGAAAUGAAACUUUUUGAUAAUUUUUCUUGGACCACAAAACACCCUGAAAGCUUCGGGAGGAGGCCAGAUGAGCCAUGAGGCGACGGCAAGCUCAGGGGGCGUGCCCGGGGGGCAAGCUAGUGGGCUCCACGUGGUUCCUCUAACCCUAAUUCUUCUUCUAUAAAUUCUCAAAUAUUCCGCGAAGUCCACAGGGCACACCAAAAAUACGUUUCCACCAUUGCAAGUUUCUGUCUUUGUGAGAUCUCAUAUGGGGACCUUUUUCGGUACUCUGCCGGAGGGGGAUUCGAUCAUGGAGGGCUUCUGCAUCAAUCUUGCUGCCCGUCCAAUGAUGUGUGAGUAGUUUACCACAGACCUACGGGUCUGUGGCACCCCGGCUCGGAGAAAACCGGAACGCCCCGUAUUCCAGCCCAGAGAUCGAGAUGAAGUCUUCUGGAAUACGACACUGCUUAGCAUAGAACAAACCAGCCUUCUAUUAUUACACGAAUAUGAAUACAAGGUCUCUGAUAUUACAAUGAAUAACAUCGGUACGGCGACACUACGCCUGCCACUGUUGCUCUAUGCAAGCAGCAGAACAACACGAUGCAGCGGAAGAACUCUAGCAGCGGAACAAUGACGACGGUGGUGAACUCCACUCCGCAGGGACUCUGGCUGGAACGCUUAUCCUAGCUCGCACGAACGGAAACCACGACAAGCAAGCAAUCAAAUUCGGCAUGACCUGCAAGCUGGCAUGACACGCCAGGUCAGUGCAUUGAAUGUACUUGCAAGCUCAAAAUAACCAGAAGCAUUCAGGACAGACAACAUCAUGGCAAUUACAGGUUAAAGAGGAGUUAUCAUGAGAUCAUCAGAAUAACAUGGCAUGACCAACAUAAACAUGGUACAACUAACACAACAUGAACAUAUCAAUCCGACAAUACUAGCAUGCAACAUGAUGCCACUAUAUGCACCACUUAUCCUGCUCGAUUUACCUCGUAACCAACACAUGCAUCACUUACCAACCUCGGACAUCACACGAUCAUCUCAGGAUCAAAUCAAGCUUGGUAUAAACAAUACCAUAGUAAUCA